rnacentral:rRNA from 1 species
UUUAAAGAGAGUUUGAUCCUGGCUCAGGACGAACGCUGGCGGCGUGCCUAAUACAUGCAAGUCGAACGAACGGAGGAAGAGCUUGCUCUUCCAAAGUUAGUGGCGGACGGGUGAGUAACACGUGGGCAACCUGCCUGUAAGUUGGGGAUAACUCCGGGAAACCGGGGCUAAUACCGAAUGAUAAGCAGUGACGCAUGUCACUGCUUUGAAAGAUGGUUUCGGCUAUCGCUUACAGAUGGGCCCGCGGUGCAUUAGCUAGUUGG